rnacentral:rRNA from 1 species
GAUAAGCGCCGGUAAGGUGAUAUGAACCGUUAUAACCGGCGAUACCCGAAUGGGGAAACCCAGUGUGACUCGUCACACUAUCAUUAACUGAAUCCAUAGGUUAAUGAGGCGAACCGGGGGAACUGAAACAUCUAAGUACCCCGAGGAAAAGAAAUCAACCGAGAUUCCCCCAGUAGCGGCGAGCGAACGGGGAGGAGCCCAGAGCCUGAAUCAGCAUGUGUGUUAGUGGAAGCGUCUGGAAAGGCGCGCGAUACAGGGUGACAGCCCCGUACACAAAAGCGCAUGUGCUGUGAGCUCGAUGAGUAGGGCGGGACACGUGGUAUCCUGUCUGAAUAUGGGGGGACCAUCCUCCAAGGCUAAAUACUCCUGACUGACCGAUAGUGAACCAGUACCGUGAGGGAAAGGCGAAAAGAACCCCGGCGAGGGGAGUGAAAAAGAACCUGAAACCGUGUACGUACAAGCAGUGGGAGCACCCUUUGGGUGUGACUGCGUACCUUUUGUAU